GUUUGGGGCAGUGCCAAGGCUCCCACCAGCCGUGGAGCACUUCACAUCCGCUGUCCCAUCCCAAAACCUUGGUGGGCAGAGAAAUAGGAGGACCUGCACUAGGCAGGCCUGGUGACUUGAUGGCCAUUGUCACCUCAAAGGAAGCAUGCAAGACAGAUGCCAUGUGGACAGAGGGCCUGUUCUGAUGUGGAUGAACUGGAUACAAUGAGGAAACUGGGUCCUACAAGAGAGCAAAUGACUUGUCCAACACUACAGAUGUGUCCUAAUUUUACCUGAACUCCUAAGGACUGCGCUGCAAGUCUGUCUAAAAACACAAGUAAACAGGCAAAUGGCCAACCCCCUGCCUACAUGUCUCCAUAUGAUCUUCUACUGGACAUGAACAAAAUAAUCUUGGCAGUCAUGCCCAGGGCAGCCGGCUCCUAAGCCUGUCCAGCCAAUGCACUCUUAUUCUCAGGACUCCACAGCAGAGGGAAGUAAGGGCCAGAGCAGAUACUCUGGGGAAAGCAUUUCUGGGGCCCAGAUUGUUCCUAAAGUCACCUCGGCCCUUCAAUCCUCACUUUCUACUGGCAGACAGGAAGAGUGAGGGGACAAACCACCCAACCAAUGCUGCUCCUGCAGGGCCCUGCUGCUCUCUAGAGACAGGGGACUCCUGUGUUUUCCACCAUGAUGGUUCCCUACCAUGACCUUGCUCCACGCAGCUCUCGAGAAGAUCGACAGAAGGAAAACAGAUCGUUUCCUCACCUGGAGCCUCCCUAAUUCCUGGACACUGUGCUCAGUGGUUGAAAAUUUCAUUUCUAGAUGACCACAGAGAAUCUGGAAACCUUUUGGGGGCCACUCCAUGAGGUCCAUCCCAGUAAGGAUGGUCUCAGAAGCCAAGCUGGCCCUGUUGGACACAAAGUGCAGUCCAGUUUCAACUCCUCAUGAUCAUAACCCACCCGACAGUCCCCUCAUACGGGGGACAAGUCCAAACACUGGAACAAACCCGGAAUCCUAGUGAAGUAAGAAGAGCAGGUGGGCAGGAAAGUCUCUCCAAGUAGGAUGGCCAAUGUCGCCCCAUUCCCUGUCUUCCUGGGUCCCCAAGAAGCCCCAUGCCAGGCCCGAAACCCCUGGAAAGUCCUCUGUGGAGCAUGGUCCCAGGACAGAACUCCCAGCAGCAGCAGGAAAGCUCCUGAUGCCUUCUCCAAACUUCUCAAAGACACCCAUAGGAAGAGGAGAGUGCCCCCAGCUGGUUGAUGGUGCAAAGCCUGUAGCAGCCACGAGGCCUCUCCUUCAGCUGUCACCAGCUCCCAAACACGCGCCCCAUGCCUGUGUUUAUGCUGGUUGCCAUGAGAGAUAAGUGCGGGCUUGAAUGGAGCUAAAUGCUCCUGGGCUGGGAGAUGGAAGAGGGCCAGGUGUAUUUUUAAAGCAUCUGGGAAAGCCGGUCACCACGAGAAGCCUCCUUCUCUGGGCAACGUGUUCCUUCUUUAGGGGCUGGUUUAUAAAUGCAAAGUGGGUGGAAGCUGAGUCUCUUCUUUUUUGCCGUAACUCACUGGAUAUUUUAAGCAAAAAGUUCUUUGGGUUGUAUUUGGGAUUUUUGCCUUUUGACACAAUUAAUUAUGGAAAAUGAUCUGACCUCUUGCCAUGUGUAGAGACACCAAGAGGUUCUGGAAAGAAUGACAGAAAAUAUGUAUAUAUCACACAUUGUAUGCCAGGCACUAUUGAAAGUACUUUAUGCUCAUAAUUAGACCACUUAAUCCUUACAACUUCUCUGGGAGUGAAAUCCUGCUUUUACAGCCAUUUCAUAGACGAGGAGGCUGAGGCACCAACAGGGUAAUUUGCCAAGGUCACAAAGCUAAGGGAACACAGGAUUUGAACUCCAGCAGUGCGGCACCAGAGGCCCUACUCCUAACCACUCUGCGAUUCUGCCUUUGUCAUGGUUUGGGGUCAGAAGUUCUGAUGUGGAAUGUUGACCCAGGCACUGUGUGACUGCACCUCUAUGAAUGUUCCUUUCUUCUUUAGUAAAAUAGGGGUACUAAUGGCUACCUUGUGACAUUGUUGUGAAGAUGAAAUAUAAUAUGUGUCAAGAGUCUGGCGACCAGAAAAUACUCAAUGAAAGGUAACUUUAGUGUUUUUAGUGGUGGUUCCAUGGCCCGCUGGAUCCCAACUUCUGCAUCCCGACAGGGAAGGGCUGCUGAGCUAUAACUGUUACUGUCCAGAGGGGCGAUGGAGGCAAGGAACUGUGUAAGGGCCAGCAGGACACAGCUGGUCUCUCACACUAUCUAUAGCAGAGGACACUUCCCUGCCCAUAUUCAUCAAUCCCGCCCAUUCGUCGAUCCUGCUCAUGCUUUCAGCUUCCCACUACAGAGUCUUGUGUCUAUGCCAGAGCGCUUCUCCAACCAUGGGAAGUUGUUUGGGGUAAGCAGGAAGAAGAGAGUGGUGAAAAUCCCCAGGAGUUGAUGGAUAAAUAUCCCAGUCCCCUGCCUGUCUCCCUAAGGCCCCCAGUAGAAUUGAGCCCCAGUUGCUCAUAGCAGUAACCUGCUCCCGAACACACUCCAUACUGAUUGCCUUCUCUUCCCUGUCUCACUUCCCCACUGCCCUUCUGAGAUCACCUCCCAAAUAAACUACUUGCACUC